AGUGAACGCUGGCGGUAUGCCUAACACAUGCAAGUCGAACGGCAGCACAGUAAGAUCUUGCUCUUACGGGUGGCGAGUGGCGGACGGGUGAGGAAUACAUCGGAAUCUACUUUUUCGUGGGGGAUAACGUAGGGAAACUUACGCUAAUACCGCAUACGACCUACGGGUGAAAGCAGGGGAUCUUCGGACCUUUCGCGAUUGAAUGAGCCGCUGUCGGAUUAGCUAGUUGGCGGGGUAAAGGCCCACCAAGGCGACGAUCCGUAGCUGGUCUGAGAGGAUGAUCAGCCACACUGGAACUGAGACACGGUCCAGACUCCUACGGGAGGCAGCAGUGGGGAAUAUUGGACAAUGGGCGCAAGCCUGAUCCAGCAAUACCGCGUGGGUGAAGAAGGCCUUCGGGUUGUAAAGCCCUUUUGUUGGGAAAGAAAAGCAGCAGGUUAAUACCCCGCUGUUCUGACGGUACCCAAAGAAUAAGCACCGGCUAACUUCGUG
rnacentral:rRNA from 1 species